rnacentral:tRNA from 1 species
GGGCGAAAGCCUCACCGGUUGUGAGGGACUGUCUUAUAAACAGUUGCAAGGCGGGUUCGACUCCCGUUUCGCCUA